rnacentral:rRNA from 1 species
GACGAACGCUGGCGGCGUGCUUAACACAUGCAAGUCGAACGGAAAGGCCCUGCUUUUGUGGGGUGCUCGAGUGGCGAACGGGUGAGUAACACGUGAGUAACCUGCCCUUGACUUUGGGAUAUCUUCAGGAAACUGGGGCUAAUACCGGAUAGGAGCUCCUGCUGCAUGGUGGGGGUUGGAAAGUUUCGGCGGUUGGGGAUGGACGGGCGGCUUAUCAGCUUGUUGGUGGGGUAGUGGCUUACCAAGGCUUUGACGGGUAGCCGGCCUGAGAGGGUGACCGGCGACAUUGGGACUGAGAUACGGCCCAGACGCCUACGGGAGGCAGCAGUGGGGAAUAUUGCACAAUGGGCGGAAGCCUGAUGCAGCAACGCCGCGUGCGGGAUGACGGCCUUCGGGUUGUAAACCGCUUUCGCCUGUGACGAAGCGUGAGUGACGGUAAUGGGUAAAGAAGCACCGGCUAACUACGUG